CGCACAUUGCGCCCUCUGGUAUUCCGGGGGGCACGCCUGUUCGAGCGUCAUUGCACGAAUCGAGCCUGGCUCGGUAAUGGGACCGGCCCUGCGGGCGGCCCGAAAGUCAGUCGGCACGGUCGUCGGGCGAGGACGCAUUGGAAAUGACUGUCCUGCGUCCGGCGAGCGCGGCCAGCCAAACCGUCUCCCGAGGCGUAAAACCCCCGGGGACAUCUUUCAUUGACCUCGGAUCAGGCGGGACUACCCGCUGAACUUAA
rnacentral:misc_RNA from 1 species